rnacentral:misc_RNA from 1 species
ACCAUAUUUCCGGUUGAAAGUGAAUUCAAUCCAUUUUUUACCUGAACAUUGAUGUCACUUUAAUUCAAGUCAAGAGUUUCAAGUGUUUCAAAACGAGUGUAGAAUGUCGACGACGCAGCAACAACCGCCACCGCGAAAGGGCAAUUAUGCAAAGGUAUUGAGAAAUUUACAUGCGGAGCAGUUGUCCAAGGUACAAUGGAAACACCAACAGGAAUGCGAACUCCUCGAAGACUUGCGAAAUUUCAUCAAGCAAAGAUGCGCCGUCGAGAAAUCCUACGGCGAGGCCAUGCAGAAGAUAUCGGCCAAUUACCUCAACAAGAAAAUGCCGCCCAUUCACGAACUGAAUCACGACGAAAUCAACCAGCAAUGGACGGUUUGGUCAAUAUGGAGAUCUUUGCUGGAGGAAACGGAUAAAUUGGCAAAGGCCAAAUUGGCCGCUGUCGAAAUAUUCCAAACGCAAAUCGCAGACGACGUGAAAAUCGUCCGUCAAAACAAACUCCAAUUGGCUAAAAAGAAUCUGGACCUAUUGAAAGUGGUGCAAGGUGAAGUGCAAACUUGCGUGACUGAAUUGGACAAAUUGAAAAAAGUUUACGUCGACGACGAACAUGUCAGUCACGACGCUCGUGACAAGGCCCGCGAAGCUGAGGAAAAGCUAAAGAAGAAAAAGGGUAGCAUCUUCCAGUCGGUUUCCUCUUUACAGAAGACAUCGGCCAAAUUGGGGAGUCGAAGGGAUUUGUGCGAGGAGAAAUCGACUCAAGCCAGAAACGCCUACCUGCUUCAACUUGCUUCAGCCAACGCCCAUCAGAAUCGAUACUUUCACGUUGAUUUGCAAAACGUCGUCAAGACGUUAGACGGCGGAAUGUACGAAAAAGUGGCCGAAUACUUUUCCAUUAUGAGUCGGACGGAACUUUAUACUUGCUCCGCCUCUCAAUUCUCUUUCGGCAAAAUUAAAGAGCAAGCCCAAACCAUCAAUCGCGACUACGACCUGGCCUGUUUCGUCGACGCCUUCCCAAUUCUCAAUCAGCAUAUCACUUACGACUUUGAGCCUUGUGACAAUGACGUCAUCACGACGGUGGAUCAAGCUCACGGAGCUGGUGCCGGAUUGAUUCAGAGUGGAAAACAAUAUGCAUCUCGUGUCGCCCAAGAAUCCAAAAAGAUCAGAGAAUCGACGAGGACACUGCAAACUCUACAGGGCAUGAAAGAGAGUGGCUUGAAGAGUGAUCCGAAUGAACCCAACGGACCUGAUAUUGACGCCAAAAUCGAUGAAAUCAAAAACCAAUUGAGGCGCUCAGAGACUGCCAAAAUCAAAGCUGAGGCUCGAUUGGAGUGCCUUCAUGCUGGUGGAGUCAAAGUCGAUGAAUUCCUUCAAGACGCAGAGGGUCUGGUGACUCUUGGAUUGAUGAGAUCUUCUAGCCAGCUUUCUUUCCGAGAAUCAGCUCACGAGGAAUCUGAAUUCUCCGACAGCGGCUCUCGCGCUGGUGCCGAAACAACUCAGCAGGAUGAAGAAGAGGAAGAAGCCGCUGACGAAGCUUUCGUCGAGCAAGUGGUACAGCAGCAAAUUGCCGAAAUGCAGGCAACGUGGCAAGAUCCGACGGCCGCCUGGGAUACAACCGACGCCUGGGGAGACGACGCCGCUCAGCUCAACACCUCCGCCGCCAACACGACCACCACGUCUGUACAAAUUGAAACUGCCAGCAGCGUCACGGAUUCGGUGCAUGCCAGUGGAGAUGCCAGCGUCAUCAAAUGCAUCGCGUUCUAUCCCUACACGGCACAAAAUGCGGACGAGCUUUCCAUGAUGGAAAACGAAGAGCUGGAAGUGUUGCUGGCCUUUUCCGAAGGCGACGGAUGGGUCAAAGCCCGGAAUUAUAAGGGAGAGGAAGGCUACGUGCCUGAAAAUUACCUGGACCUGCACGCCGACGAUCAGGUGCCGUGUGGAGGUGACGAGGACGCCAACCAGAACGUCCAUCAACAUCCAGCUAUUGCGGAGGAAGUCGAGCCGGAAGAAGGGCACGAAGAAGAGGAAGAAGAAAUCGUUAGUGCAGAAGCGGAAGGAGGUUAUCCAUUGGAGAACCAAAUUUCCUUUUCUUCAGUCGACUACACUUAUCAGCAGCAAGGAAUGAGCGCCGAAGAAGAAGAUGAGUUCCCUGGGCCGACCGAAAGCGCUCCUUUACCUCCACCUCCUCCACCCAUUGCUGCCCCAGUCGUGGAAUCAUCUCCAGUUCCUGUCGCUGAUGGCCAAACAAACCGAAUCAUCGGCUACUGCCGGGCCAUGUACGACUACGACGCCACGUCUGAUGAGGAGUUGACCUUUUACGAAGGUGAAGUCAUCGCCAUUUUCCGUCGAUCCGGUGCUCUACACGAUCAGGACGUCGACGAUGGGUGGUGGGAGGGUCAGCUCCUAACGGACGGGACUAGAGGCGUCUUCCCUUCUUUGGUUGUCGAAGAAUGCGGUCCCAACGGCGAAGAAUUGACGCCAAAAGGAUGCCACGCCUAAGAUUGCCACUGUUAUGGUUAACGUAGAGCAGAUAAUGGAUUAUAACCCAUGAAAUGAAUGAAGCUGUCCUAUUGCCAGCAAUAUGAAAUCAAUCAUUUCAAUUUUCAACGUGAACGAACGUGAACGCCCAUCAGUCAGUUAUAUUUAGCUUUUCGAGUCGACAAACCCAUUUGAAAUGUUCCACAUGACUGGAUUGCAUAACUCGAUUAAAGUUUUGACAAAAUGCCACUAGUUUUCUGGCAAGGUCAGCGUCUUCUCCCAAUAAGACGUUUUGCCUUAUCCUUUCUCUUCCUCGAAUUGAAUCCUGGUUUUCCUCAUUUUGACGUCAUCACACUAAAAAUAUGUCCAGUGCUGCCAACCCUGUUUGGGUAAGAGAAGAAAGACCUUUCUACUGAAAAACUAGCGUCAACCUUUAACUUGGAUUUAGGUGGAUUUGAGCGGAAAAUAGUCUUCGCUUGAAAGAGAUGUAAUGGGGCGAGCACUGUUUCCAUCCGCAAAACUCGUUGGCAAAGCAUCUCAUCAAGGGCACUGAUAGAACUAGGCGUCGCCCAAACGUGUCCAAGAGUAAACAAACCCAAUUUAACCUUGUGAUCUUAAAUUCCAAGGUGGUUUGGCGCCUGUUUUUUUUCCGCAAUUGAAACCAUUUGUCGCAUAUAAAUACUUGACAACUGGAGGGAAAAGAUAUUCUUUCAGCGAAUUUCAUAGCGGCUACUACAGUCGCAAUUAACAUGAGUCGAUUUGGUGCUAUCGUGUUUGUUGCGGCAUUCGUGUUCUCGGUCAACUUGCAGAGAGCUGAAUCCUUCAGUCAUCACCGCAUUGGCAUCGACAAUAAAGAUUCUCACGAGCACUUAGUCGAUAGCAAGGAACUACAAGAAACGAGUAUCGCCCCAACUGACACCCAAUCUGACGAGCUGGUCGACUCCGAGGAAGAGAUAGUCGUGAAACGCCAUGUCCUUCUUCAACCAUCAACUGGUCAUUCGUCUGAAGAGGAAGAUGCAACUACUGAUAGUAAAAACGAAUCAAUCGAGGAUAGCGUCGACUCAAAAGAAAUCAAGUUGGUUAAAAGAGAUGUCCAAUUUACUACGACAACUGAUGGCCACUCAUCCGAAGAAGAUGUAACAACUGUACCAACAAUUUCUCUGGAAGACCUAUCAGUGGAAGACGACGUUGACGACGCAGAAGACAAGAAGAAAGUGAAGCGGAAUGUUCAAGUGACAAGCAUCGACCACUCGUCCGAAGAGGAAAGAUAUGCGGCAAUAGUCGGCCAGAUGAAUCAAUCUGACGAGCACGAUUAUGACGACUCGGCAGAAUUGUUUAAGCGAGAAAUCCACCAACUUACGGCCGGGGAAUUGGAGAUGCUGUUUCAACUUUUCCAUUUCGGUGCAGCAAACGGAACUCUUAUUGGCAGCCAUUCAGACGAGCAUCAUGAUUAUUUUGGACCUAUUGAGAAAAGGCAAUCCGGGCUACUGGCAACAACAACUGGCGGACGCUCUUCCGAAGAAAUGGAUGAUAGAUUCGACCAUUCAUUUGAAAAUUCGAUGGAAGAUGUACUUGAGAGAUUGGCGUCGGUCAAGUCAGCCGCCUGAUGAUUUGUUUUUGGUUAUUUCCCUUGUUAUAGAUUCAUGCAAAUAAAGAUCUACGUUGUUUCAUA